GAAUAUAUAACUCAAUUGGUAGAGUGUGGUGCGUACGCAAAUCUUAAUAACCAGGACACGCGAGUUGUAGGUUCGAGCCCUGCUAUAUUCA
rnacentral:tRNA from 1 species